rnacentral:rRNA from 1 species
UGGGGAAUUUGACAUUGGGCGAAAGGCCUGAAUCCAGCAAAUGCCGCGUGUGUGAAGAAGGCCUUCGGGUUGUAAAGCACUUUUGUCCGGAAAGAAAUCCUUGGCUCUAAUACAGUCGGGGGAUGACGGUACCGGAAGAAUAAGCACCGGCUAACUACGUGCCAGCAGCCGCGGUAAUACGUAGGGUGCAAGCGUUAAUCGGAAUUACUGGGCGUAAAGCGUGCGCAGGCGGUUUGCUAAGACCGAUGUGAAAUCCCCGGGCUCAACCUGGGAACUGCAUUGGUGACUGGCAGGCUAGAGUAUGGCAGAGGGGGGUAGAAUUCCACGUGUAGCAGUGAAAUGCGUAGAGAUGUGGAGGAAUACCGAUGGCGAAGGCAGCCCCCUGGGCCAAUACUGACGCUCAUGCACGAAAGCGUGGGGAGCAAACAGGAUUAGAUACCCUGGUAGUCCACGCCCUAAACGAUGUCAACUAGUUGUUGGGGAUUCAUUUCCUUAGUAACGUAGCUAACGCGUGAAGUUGACCGCCUGGGGAGUACGGUCGCAAGAUUAAAACUCAAAUGAAUUGACGGGGUCAUAGCUGUUUCCU